AUGCGGUAUGCAUCAUAAUGGUGCAUGAAGCAUGGUAACGAAACACUCAGACUUUAUUUCAAGUCUGAGGCACAUUACUUACC
rnacentral:ribozyme from 1 species